GUUUGAUCCUGGCUCAGAUUGAACGCUGGCGGCAGGCCUAACACAUGCAAGUCGAACGGUAACAGGAUAGCUUGCUAUCGCUGACGAGUGGCGGACGGGUGAGUAAUACUUAGGGAUCUGCCCUUUGGAGGGGGAUAACCAUUGGAAACGAUGGCUAAUACCGCAUAAUGUCUACGGACCAAAGGGGGCUUCGGCUUCCACCAGAGGAUGAACCUAAGCGAGAUUAGCUUGUUGGUGAGGUAACGGCUCACCAAGGCGACGAUCUCUAGCUGUUCUGAGAGGAAGAUCAGCCACACUGGAACUGAGACACGGUCCAGACUCCUACGGGAGGCAGCAGUGGGGAAUAUUGCACAAUGGGGGAAACCCUGAUGCAGCCAUGCCGCG
rnacentral:rRNA from 1 species